rnacentral:rRNA from 1 species
GAUCUGGCUCAGGAUGAACGCUAGCGACAGGCUUAACACAUGCAAGUCGAGGGGCAGCGGGGGUAGCGAUACCCGCCGGCGACCGGCGCACGGGUGAGUAACGCGUAUGCAACUUGCCUAUCAGAGGGGGAUAACCCGGCGAAAGUCGGACUAAUACCGCAUGAGGCAGGGAUCCCGCAUGGGAAUAUUUGCUAAAGAUUUAUCGCUGAUAGAUAGGCAUGCGUUCCAUUAGG